UACGGAGGGGGCUAGCGUUGUUCGGAAUUACUGGGCGUAAAGCGCACGUAGGCGGCUUUGUAAGUUAGAGGUGAAAGCCCAGGGCUCAACCCUGGAAUUGCCUUUAAGACUGCAUCGCUAGAAUUGUGGAGAGGUAAGUGGAAUUCCGAGUGUAGAGGUGAAAUUCGUAGAUAUCGGGAGGAACACCUGUGGCGAAAGCGGCUCACUGGACCACAACUGACGCUGAGGCGCGAAAGCUAGGGGAGCAAACAGG
rnacentral:rRNA from 1 species